AAUUUUAUACAAAGGGGGCAACACUGAUCCAGUCAUUCCGUCUUUGUGAAUAACGUCUUCGGAUUUAAAAUCACUCUAAGUUAGGAGGGAAGGCUUUAGGCUAAUACCCUGAAGCUUUGACGUUACCAUCUGUUUAAGCACCGGCUAACUCUGUUCGUGCAGCCGCGGUAAUAUAGAGGGUGCAAGCGUUAAUUGGAAUUACUGGGAGGAAAGCGCGGGUAGGUGGUUUAGUAAGAUGUGAGUGAAAUCCCCGGGCUUAACCUGGGAACUGCUUUUAUAGCAACUGAGCUAGAAUACGGUAGAGGGUAGUGGAAUUUCCUGUGUAGCGGUGAAAUGCGUAGAUAUAGGAAGGAACAACAGUGGCGAAGGAGACUACCUGGACUGAUACUGACACUGAGGAGCGAAAGCGUGGGGAGCAAACA
rnacentral:rRNA from 1 species